rnacentral:sRNA from 1 species
AAGCUUCGACUAAGGUUCGACUCGAGCGAAGCGAGAGAACGUUGCCGCAGGCAACGGCCCGAAGGGCGAGGCGCUUUAGCGCCGAGUAAUCCUUCCCCCACCACCA